rnacentral:rRNA from 1 species
UACGAAGGGGGCUAGCGUUGCUCGGAAUCACUGGGCGUAAAGGGUGCGUAGGCGGGUCUUUUAAGUCAGGGGUGAAAUCCUGGAGCUCAACUCCAGAACUGCCUUUGAUACUGAGGAUCUUGAGUUCGGGAGAGGUGAGUGGAACUGCGAGUGUAGAGGUGAAAUUCGUAGAUAUUCGCAAGAACACCAGUGGCGAAGGCGGCUCACUGGCCCGAUACUGACGCUGAGGCACGAAAGCGUGGGGAGCCAAACAGG